GACGAACGCUGGCGGCGUGCUUAACACAUGCAAGUCGAACGGAAAGGCCCUGCUUUUGUGGGGUGCUCGAGUGGCGAACGGGUGAGUAACACGUGAGUAACCUGCCCUUGACUUUGGGAUAACUUCAGGAAACUGGGGCUAAUACCGGAUAGGAGCUCCUGCUGCAUGGUGGGGGUUGGAAAGUUUCGGCGGUUGGGGAUGGACUCGCGGCUUAUCAGCUUGUUGGUGGGGUAGUGGCUUACCAAGGCUUUGACGGGUAGCCGGCCUGAGAGGGUGACCGGCCACAUUGGGACUGAGAUACGGCCCAGACUCCUACGGGAGGCAGCAGUGGGGAAUAGUGCACAAUGGGCGGAAGCCUGAUGCAGCAACGCCGCGUGCGGGAUGACGGCCUUCGGGUUGGAAACCGCGUUCGCCUGGGACGAAGCGUGAGUGACGGUAAUGGGUAAAGAAGCACCGGCUAACUACGUG
rnacentral:rRNA from 1 species